AUGUUCAACGAGCAGGUGUCCACAUACUUUUGGUCAUGCAGUGAAUCUUAUAAUGGAUUUCUGCCAGAAAUCAAAGAGCUGUACAGCUGCCAUUUUUCCUUGUGCUUCCUACUAGCGUUAGUUCCCCUGUGCUUCCUACUAGCGUUAGUUCCCCUGUGCUUCCUACAAGCGUUAGUUCCCCUGUGCUUCCUACAAGCGUUAGUUCCCCUGUGCUUCCUACAAGCGUUAGUUCCCCUGUGCUUCCUACAAGCGUUAGUUCCCCUGUGCUUCCUACAAGCGUUAGUUCCCCUGUGCUUCCUACAAGCGUUAGUUCCCCUGUGCUUCCUACAAGCGUUAGUUCCCCUGUGCUUCCUACAAGCGUUAGUUCCCCUGUGCUUCCUACUAGCGUUAGUUCCCCUGUGCUUCCUACUAGCGUUAGUUCCCCUGUGCUUCCUACAAGCGUUAGUUCCCCUGUGCUUCCUACAAGCGUUAGUUCCCCUGUGCUUCCUACAAGCGUUAGUUCCCCUGUGCUUCCUACAAGCGUUAGUUCCCCUGUGCUUCCUACAAGCGUUAGUUCCCCUGUGCUUCCUACAAGCGUUAGUUCCCCUGUGCUUCCUACAAGCGUUAGUUCCCCUGUGCUUCCUACAAGCGUUAGUUCCCCUGUGCUUCCUACAAGCGUUAGUUCCCCUGUGCUUCCUACAAGCGUUAGUUCCCCUGUGCUUCCUACAAGCGUUAGUUCCCCUGUGCUUCCUACAAGCGUUAGUUCCCCUGUGCUUCCUACAAGCGUUAGUUCCCCUGUGCUUACUACUAGCGUUAGUUCCCCUGUGCUUCCUACAAGCGUUAGUUCCCCUGUGCUUCCUACAAGCGUUAGUUCCCCUGUGCUUCCUACAAGCGUUAGUUCCCCUGUGCUUACUACAAGCGUUAGUUCCCCUGUGCUUCCUACAAGCGUUAGUUCCCCUGUGCUUACUACAAGCGUUAGUUCCCCUGUGCUUCCUACAAGCGUUAGUUCCCCUGUGCUUCCUACAAGCGUUAGUUCCCCUGUGCUUACUACAAGCGUUAGUUCCCCUGUGCUUCCUACAAGCGUUAGUUCCCCUGUGCUUACUACAAGCGUUAGUUCCCCUGUGCUUCCUACAAGCGUUAGUUCCCCUGUGCUUCCUACAAGCGUUAGUUCCCUUGUGCUUACUACAAGCGUUAGUUCCCCUGUGCUUCCUACAAGCGUUAGUUCCCCUGUGCUUACUACAAGCGUUAGUUCCCCUGUGCUUCCUACAAGCGUUAGUUUCCCUGUGCUUACUACAAGCGUUAGUUCCCCUGUGCUUACUACAAGCGUUAGUUCCCCUGUGCUUCCUACAAGCGUUAGUUCCCCUGUGCUUCCUACAAGCGUUAGUUCCCCUGUGCUUCCUACAAGCGUUAGUUCCCCUGUGCUUCCUACAAGCGUUAGUUCCCCUGUGCUUCCUACAAGCGUUAGUUCCCCUGUGCUUCCUACAAGCGUUAGUUCCCCUGUGCUUACUACAAGCGUUAGUUCCCCUGUGCUUCCUACAAGCGUUAGUUCCCCUGUGCUUCCUACAAGCGUUAGUUCCCCUGUGCUUACUACAAGCGUUAGUUCCCCUGUGCUUCCUACAAGCGUUAGUUCCCCUGUGCUUCCUACAAGCGUUAGUUCCCCUGUGCUUCCUACAAGCGGUAGUUCCCCUGUGCUUACUACUAGCGUUCUACUCAUUUCUGCUCUGUGUACUACACAUGCUGCUCUUUCUCAGAAAAGCAUGCAUAACAACUUUGUUCAUUUGUGCAAUUUCUCUACUUCACUUUCGCUUGAAAAUGUCCACACUCACUGAAAAUGACAUUCGGUAG
ensembl:lncRNA